rnacentral:rRNA from 1 species
UCACUCCUACGGGAGGCAGCAGUGGGGAAUAUUGCACAAUGGGCGCAAGCCUGAUGCAGCCAUGCCGCGUGUAUGAAGAAGGCCUUCGGGUUGUAAAGUACUUUCAGCAGUGAGGAAGGCGGGUACGUUAAUAGCGUGCUUGUUUGACGUUAGCUGCAGAAGAAGCACCGGCUAACUCCGUGCCAGCAGCCGCGGUAAUACGGAGGGUGCGAGCGUUAAUCGGAAUUACUGGGCGUAAAGCGCAUGCAGGUGGUUUGUUAAGUCAGAUGUGAAAGCCCGGGGCUCAACCUCGGAAUUGCAUUUGAAACUGGCAGACUAGAGUACUGUAGAGGGGGUAGAAUUUCAGGUGUAGCGGUGAAAAUGCGUAGAGAUCUGAAGGAAUACCGGUGGCGAAGGCGGCCCCCUGGACAGAUACUGACACUCAGAUGCGAAAGCGUGGGGAGCAAACAGGAUUAGAUACCCUGGUAG